rnacentral:rRNA from 1 species
AUGAUUUUUAGCCAAAAGGUACGCAAAUUGCAGCGCAACUACCCUACGAUGAGACUGCGUCAGAUCAGGCAGAUGGCGGGGUAAUGGCCCACCAUACCUUUGACCUGUAGGGGAUAUGGGAGUAUGAGCCCCGAGAAGGGCACUGAGACAAGGGCCCUAGCGCUACGGCGUGCAGCAGGCGCGCAAACUCCACACUGUGCGUAAGCACGAUGGGGGAAGUCUGAGUGGUUCACUUCGGUGAACCUUUUGCCAAGUAUAGCAAGCUUGGAGAAUAAGUGCUGGGCAAGACCGGUGGCAGCCGCCACGGUAAUACCGGCAGCACAAGUGGUUUCCACGAUUAUUGGGCUUAAAGCGUCAGUAGCUGGCUGGAACCGUCUUAUGUGAAAUAUCCGUGCUUAACGCGGAUGCGUGCAUAAGAUACCUUCCGGCUAGGGAGUGGGCGAGGUGUGGAGUACUUAUGGGGUAGGGGUAAAAUCCUGUAAUCCUAUAAGGACUACCGGUGGCGAAGGCGCCACACCAGAACACAUCCGACAGUGAGUGACGAAGGCUAGGAGAACGAAUCGGAUUAGAUACCCGAGUAGCCCUAGCAGUAAAUUAUGUAGACUCUGGUGUUGCACUUUCUAAAUGAAUGUGCAGCACCGUAGGGAAACUGAUA